CAGCAGCCGCGGUAAUACGUAGGGUGCGAGCGUUAAUCGGAUUUACUGGGCGUAAAGCGUGCGCAGGCGGCCCGUUAAGACAGGUGUGAAAUCCCUGGGCUCAACCUAGGAAUUGCGCUUGUGACUGGCGGGCUCGAGUACGGUAGAGGGGGGUGGAAUUCCUGGUGUAGCAGUGAAAUGCGUAGAGAUCAGGAGGAACACCGAUGGCGAAGGCAGCCCCCUGGGCCUGUACUGACGCUCAUGCACGAAAGCGUGGGGAGCAAACAGGAUUAGAUACCCUGGUAGUCAACGCCCUAAACGAUGGGUACUAGCCGUUUGGUGCGCGAUAGCGCUGAGUGGCGAAGCUAACGCGUGAAGUACCCCGCCUGGGGAGUACGGCCGCAAGGUUGAAACUUAAAGGAAUUGGCGGG
rnacentral:rRNA from 1 species